GUCCAGUAUGGUUAGAUGAUUAGGAUUGUGAUUCCUGUCGUCGUGGGUUCGAGUCCCAUCAGCCACCCCA
rnacentral:tRNA from 1 species